CCUACGGGGUGCAGCAGUGAGGACUAUUGGUCAAUGGACGAGAGUCUGAACCAGCCAAGUAGCGUGAAGGAUGACUGCCCUAUGGGUUGUAAACUUCUUUUAUAAAGGAAUAAAACGAGGCACGUGUGCCUUUUUGCAUGUACUUUAUCAAUAAGAGUCGGCUAACGACGUGCCAGCAGACGCGCUAAUACGGAGGAUCCGAGCGUUAUACGGGUUUAUUGGGUUUAAAGGGAGCGUAGAUGGGUUGGUAAGUCAGGUGUGAAAGUUUGCGGCUCAACCGUAAAAUUGCAAUUGAUACUGGCAGUCUUGAGUACAGUCGAGGUAGGCGGAAUGCGUGGUGUAGCGGUGAAAUGCUUAGAUAUCACGAAGAACCCCGAUUGCGAAGGCAGCUGACUAAACUGUGACUGACAUUGAUGCUCGAAAGUGUGGGUAGCAAACAGGAUUAGAUACCCCGGUAGUC
rnacentral:rRNA from 1 species